AUGAGCCAGCUCUCAAGCCAGCACAGCAAGACCAUAACCAAGAAGUCAGGAAUACAUUUCUACGGAUGCUAUUUAUUUAUUUAUUUUACAUCUUAAUCACAAUUUCCCCUCCCUCCUCUCUGCCUAGUCCCUCUCCCCCCCACUUCUCCUCUUCCCCCACAAAUUCUCUCCUCCUCCGAUUUCUAUUCAGAAAAGGGCAGGUCUCCCAUAGAUAUCAGCAAAACAUGGCAUAUCAAGGUGUAGUAAUGCUAAGCACCUCGGACCUUGUAUUAAGGUUGGGCAAGGUGACCCAGUAUGAGGUAGAGGUUCCCAAGCCAGCAAGAGUCAGAGAUAGCCCCUGCUCCAACUGUUAGGAGUCCCACAAGAGGACUAAGCUAUACAGCCGUCACAUAUAUGCAGAGGGCCUAGGUCAGUCCCAAGCAGGCUCCCUGGUUGUUGGUUCAGUCCUGGUGAGCUUUGAGCCUAGGUGAGCUGAUGAUGUGGGUUUUCUUGCGAUGUCCUUGACCUCUCUGCCUCUUACAAUCCUCCCUGUUUUCCCUGUCUGCGGGAGGAUUCCCCUGAGCUCGGCCUAAUGUUUGGCUGUGGACUGCUGCAUCCUACAGAUGUUUUUUUUCAAUCCACACUUGAGAAGAAAUUCAGCUAAUUUUGUCUUUUCUGUUAGCCUUACCUGUGGAUUGUCAUCAAAAUAUAUAUUUUUUUAAAUCCCAGCAAGUAGUAAGACCACAGAGUGCUAUAAAAAUACAAAUUCAAAACAGCGAGAUGGGAAGAGGCCUAGAUUCCCAGUCAGUGGGAGCCUUGUGCACAUCUCCCCAGCCAAAGACUUCCUGUUCUCCUCAAGAAAGGUGCUGACCACAGCAGAACUGACCGAGAGACCUGGAGACUUAACUCCUAUCAAAAAGUCCCACAUGAUACGACCCCAAGCCACCUGUGUUAAAACUGCUUCCGGCUGCACCUCUCCAUGGACCCAGCAUUCUGAAGCGAACAUGUGCCUUCUGACCCUGCCCAGCGACACACACCACCUGAGAGCCCAUCACCCUUGUCAUCCUAAAAGAAAUGAAUCCUCUGUAAAACUACUGAACCAAGAAGGUACCACUGUUUCUCACGGUGCUGAUCGGACAUCUAUGUUAUGCCUCUCCAAGCAGUCAGGCGUCUGCAAUGCCUCUCCAUGGUUAUAGUAACCAUUUCAGAAUGAGCGAGUCACUCCUAGAGGGGACGCCCAUGGCACUUCGUUCUCAAGCCUGGCCUGGCCCCUCGUGCCAGCGGGCCUUGGUGAGCCACGUGGAUUCAGACCUCCCCAGCAUGGCCCUGCUCACCUCUCCUCCUACAAUCUGGUAACAUAAGCAUAAGACAGUCUGUAAGUCUUCUAGUGGUACAAGGAUGACCCGGAAUUAAUUACCUUACAAACACAGGCUUAUCUCCGUUCACCCAAUCUGCAUUUACUAAGAACGGACAUGCCUUCCGCUAUCGGUUCCCUUGUUUGCACUUUCUAAAAUUACAUCCAUAAAAUAUGGGCAGC